UUGAGAAGGUGAGACCUGGGAGCUGAGGCUCCCGGAGGACUUGCAGGGACAGAUAGUGCCCGACGUAACUCUUUCCUGUGACCUUUUUCUCGGAGAACGCCGGCCCGGCCCUUCUCAUUUAUAAAAUGAGCACGGUCUUCCUAUGUUGCCCGGGCUGGUCUUGAACUCCUGAACUCAAGCAGUCCUUCCACCUCGGCCUCCCAAAGAGCUGGGAUUACAGGAAAAUUCUGGAUCUGUUAUCUGUGAGGAGGC
rnacentral:lncRNA from 10 species